UACGUAGGGUGCAAGCGUUGUCCGGAAUUAUUGGGCGUAAGGAGCGUGUAGGCGGCCCGAUUAGUCCGCUGUGAAAGUCCAGGGCUCAACCCUGGAAUGCCGGUGGAUACUGUCGGGCUAGAGUCCGGAAGGGGCGAGUGGAAUUCCUGGUGUAGCGGUGAAAUGCGCAGAUAUCAGGAGGAACACCAAUGGCGAAGGCAGCUCGCUGGGACGUGACUGACGCUGAGACGCGAAAGCGUGGGGAGCAAACAGG
rnacentral:rRNA from 1 species